AUUGAACGCUGGCGGCGUGCUUAACACAUGCAAGUCGAGCGGUAACAGGCGUAGCAAUACGUGCUGACGAGCGGCGAACGGGUGAGUAAUGCUUCGGAAUCUUCCUUGUAGUGGGGAAUAACCUGGGGAAACUCAGGCUAAUGCCGCAUACGAACCAUGGUUGAAAGCGGGGGAUCGCAAGACCUCGCGCUAUAAGAUGAGCCGAAGUCGGAUUAGCUAGUUGGUGGGGUAAAGGCCUACCAAGGCGACGAUCCGUAGCUGGUCUGGGAGGACGACCAGCCACGCAGGGACUGAGACACGGCCCAGACUCCUACGGGAGGCAGCAGUGGGGAAUAUUGGCCAAUGGGGGCAACCCUGAUCCAGCGACGCCGCGUGUGUGAAGAAGGCCUGCGGGUUGUAAAGCACUUUUAGUGGGGACAAAAAGCCGAGGGCUAAUACCUUUCGGUCUUGAUUUAACCCAAAGAAAAAGCACCGGCUAACUCUGUGCCAGCAGCCGCAGUAA
rnacentral:rRNA from 1 species